rnacentral:lncRNA from 1 species
AAAGAUCGCACCAUUUCCCGUAGUAAGAGACAAAGAUAGACUCCUUCUCCUUUUUUAACUUGAUUUUAUUUGACCUUUAUUUAAUUAGGCAAGUCAGUUGAGAACAAAUUCUUAGUUUCAAUGAUGGCCUAGGAACAGUGGGUUAACUGCUUUGUUCAGGGGCAGAAUAUCAGAUUUUUACCUUGUCAGCUCAUUCCUUUUCCUUCGCCUUUUCCUUCUCCUUCUCAUCGUUCUCCUUCCCCUUCUCAUCGUUCUCCUUCCCCUUCUCAUCGUUCUCCUUUUCCUUCUCAUCGUUCUCCUUCCCCUUCUCAUCGUUCUCCUUCCCCUUCUCAUCGUUCUCCUUUUCCUUCUCAUCGUUCUCCUUUUCCUUCUCAUCGUUCUCCUUCCCCUUCUCAUCGUUCUCCUUUUCCUUCUCAUCGUUAUCAUUUUCCUUCUCAUCCGUCUCCUUCUUCUCAUUCUCAUCAUUCUCCUUCUCCUUCUUCUCAUUCUCCUUCUCCUUCUCAUUCUCAUCGUUCUCCUUUUCCUUCUCAUCGUUCUCCUUUUCCUUUGCAUCCUUCUCCUUCUUCUCAUUCUCAUCAUUCUCCUUCUUCUCAUUCUCCUUCUCCUCCUUCUCAUUCUCAUCAUUCUCCUUUUCCCUCUUCUCUUUCUAAUCUUUCUUCUUCUCCUUCUCAUCGUUCUCAUUUUCCUUCUCAUCGUUCUCCUUCUCAUCGUUCUCAUUUUCCUUCUCCUUCUCAUCAUUUUUUUCGUCUCCUUCUCAUCGUUCUUCUUCUCCUUCUCACCAUUCUUCUUUUCCUUCUCAUCAUUCUCCUUCUCAUCGUUCUCAUUUUCCUUCUCAUCCUUCUCCUUCUUCUCAUUCUCAUCAUUCUCCUUCUUCUCCUUUUCCCUCUUCUCUUUCUAAUCUUUCUUCUUCUCCUUCUCAUCGUUCUCAUUUUCCUUCUCAUCGUUCUCCCUCUCAUCGUUCUCAUUUUCCUUCUCCUUCUCAUCAUUUUCUUUGUCUCCUUCUCAUCGUUCUUCUUCUCCUUCUCACCAUUCUUCUUUUCCUUCUCAUCGUUCUCCUUCUCAUCGUUCUCAUUUUCCUUCUCAUCGUUCUCCUUCUCCUUCUCAUCGUUCUCAUUUUCCUUCUCAUCGUUCUCCUUCUCAUCGUUCUCAUUUUCCUUCUCCUUCUCAUCAUUUUCUUUGUCUCCUUCUCAUCGUUCUUCUUCUCCUUCUCAUUGUUCUUCUUCUCCUUCUCAUCGUUCUCAUUUUCCUUCUCCUUCUCAUCAUUUUCUUUGUCUCUUUCUCAUCGUUCUUCUUCUCCUUCUCAUCGUUUUCUUCGUCUCCUUGUCAUCGUUUUCUUCAUCUCCUUCUCAUCGUUCUUCUUCUCCUUCUCAUCGUUCUUCUCCUUCUCAUACUUCUUCUUUUCAUCCUUCUUCUCAUCCUUCUACCUCGUCUUCUUCUCAUUCUUCUUCUCCUUCCUUCUCCACAUUCUUCUCUCCUCAUUCUUCUUCUUUUCCUUCUGUACUUGGCC